CAUAGCUGCAGUUUACUGUGUAACUUUAGGGACAUUGUCUACAUUUUCUCUGCUUCUCUUCUUAUCUGAAAAAUAGGGAUGAUCAUUGUGCCUAGGGUGAUUGUAAGGAUGAAGUGAGUUGACACUCAUAUACCUCAGAACUGCACCUGGCACAGUGAGCACUGAUUAACCUGCCCUGUCUGCAUCCAUCUUCCUGGCCAUGAUUGUGGAGUCUCAAGAGGCAGAUUGUUACCAAAUCCCUGUGUCCCUUGUCCUGAAUCACAGCCCAGGUUUUAACCAGCCACUAGUACCCCAGCAAGUGGAGGCCUGCUUCACUGUAAGUCCAUUGAGUCUCCUGGCUUCCCUUUGCCUGGUAUUGACACAAUAUUCUUUGCAGUAAUAGUAAUGCAGGAUCAGAGGAUCAGACACCCUUUGCCUCUCUCCCUCUCCCUCUCUCUCUCUGCUCCCAUUUAAGCAUUUGCCACCUCCCACACAUUCUCCCCUGGGAUACCUCUUCAGCCCUUUCCUUUCCAUUCCUGCUACCACUUCCUCCCAGGUUCAUGCCCUCUUGGCCACUUGUCCAGACUGCUGCAACACACUUUUCUUUACUUUCUUCACCUCUUUUCUUGCCCCAAACCAGUGCCUCCAUGCAUCGUGGUAAGUUAGAUUGAGAUUCCCCAGGUGCAGCUCCAGUCCCCUGUUGCCCUUUCUCCCUGCCCUUCCAGAGGUCCACAUUGUGGACUGGAUCAUCCACACACUCAACGGGCAUGUGUGGUGUCAGAUGGCUCCUACCUGUCUUUCCAGCCCAGGUCUGCUGUUCCCUCUUUGGCUUCAGAGGGAUCGAACUGCCUGUUCUAGCUCUUCCCAGAAUGUAACAUUUAAUGUUUACUCACCUCUGUACCUAGGAUCAUGCCACAAAUUCCACUCUUGUCUUCAUAUUAUUACAAUUAGAUGUGACAUCUCCCUCACUUGAUCCCCAUAGCAUUUAGUGUGUGCUCUGUUACAGCUUUGACCUAAUGUUUUGGUUCCUUUUGUACUAGUCUUAUCUCUGAGACUUUGCCACAGGCCAACGUCCCUCCUCCCAUCCCGCCCCAUGUUCUUAGAAGGCAAGGACUGUCUUACUAAUCUUAGUGGUGUGUGCUCUCAUGCAGCCCCACACUGGCCUGUGCAAGUCUGCUAAAUUGAUUAAAUACUUGGUCAAUGGAAGUAGAAAUUCAGAUUCACACAGAUGGC
rnacentral:lncRNA from 1 species